CAGUCACUCUGAAGCUAAUGUGACACUGUUGUUAGGUAUUAAAUUCGGAGCGGCCUGGUUUGAAUUCUUCAGACCCGUGCUGUUCUUCUAGAGCAGGGAGCACAAGUCUCAAGUCAUCAGAAAUAUAGAAACAAACUCCAAUUAAUGUCUGGCAUAAAGUUGAAAAUCAAUCCCAGUGUUGUUUAGGUAAUAUGGAGCGGACCUGUUUUGCCUUUAGACCCUUUGCAUCUAUAAAGCUAGAGCGAGCAGAAAUCAAACAGAGGGUACCAAACAUUGUCACUAUUUUGUGCACUUCUUAAUUUAGAGAUGUAUGACUGAUGUUCGAUAUCAUAAUU